rnacentral:tRNA from 1 species
GCCCAGGUAGCUCAGUCGGUAGAGCAGUGGACUGAAAAUCCCCGUGUCGGUGGUUCGAUUCCGCCCCUGGGCA